UUUUUGAGAAUAAUUUAAAGUUUAACCUGCCCAAUGAUAAAUUUAAUGGCCGCGGUAUUUUGACCGUGCUAAGGUAGCAUAAUCAAUAGUUUUUUAAUUGAAAGCUGGAAUGAAGGGUUGGAUAAAAAAAUAACUGUCUUUAUUUUAUUUAAUUAGAAUUUUAUUUUUAAGUUAAAAAGCUUAAAUAUAAUUAAAAGACGAGAAGACCCUAUAGAGUUUAAUAUUUUAUAUUAUUUAUAAUUUAAGAAUUUAAUUUAUAAUUUUUAUGAAAUAUUUAAUUGGGGUGAUUAAAAAAUUAAAUUAACUUUUUUUAUGUAAAAACAUUAAUUAAUGAAAAUUUGAUCCAUAUAUAAUGAUUAUAAGA
rnacentral:rRNA from 1 species